CCUGAAUUUGUCUUCUCAAAUAAAUUGAUCACUUUUAGACAUUAUGUUUGAUCUUUAUUUUGGGAAAACUAGGCCAAGUUACAGGUAAAGUAUCUGUUGUACUCAUAGGGUAACAUUGCAUAAUGUAGCAGAAGCUGACAGGGUAUGUUGAAACUCCCGUGUUUGGUCUUGCCACUUUUACCAGAUGUGACAUAGAGCUGUAGAACUGUUUUGUUUUCAUUUCUGGGGAUGCUGAAAUGAUUUUUAUUAUUGAUUUGAUGUUUAGAGUUGUUCUUGAACUCAUUGAAACUUCUUUCCCUUACUAUUUUUUCUCUUCUUGAAUUUUGGGCAUCUUCUAAAAUAACUGCCUUCAUUAAUUGGAAAGCAAUAACUUCCAGGAAUUGGAAUAAGAAGGGUGAUUCUUAGGAGUAUAUGUAAAUUUUGAAGUAAUGGGAGUGAUAAUUAAUAUAACAAAUUAUAUUAUAAAAUUAUUAUGUAUCAGGCACUGCAUUAAGUUUAAUCCUAACAUCCCCAUAAAGCAAGUGCUAAUAUUAGCUCCAUCUUACCUUUAAGAGUUUUAAAUAUACCCCAAGUAACACUGGUCUCAAUCUUGUUUUAGAUGACCUUAAGAUGUUCUUCCUGUGAAUGAGUUAACAUUCUAGCUAUAAAAUUCAUGAAAUGUUUGAAUAAAAGCUCCAUAAAAAGUAAACACCUUGUCUGAGAUUCUGUCCCUUUUAAAAUGAAAACUGAGCUAGUGCAAACAAAUUACGGACAAGUUAGCCUUUGAUAUAGAAAACUUGGUUUCAGGGUAUGCUGCUAUUUUUGAUGAAAUCUUGAAAUAGAACAAAGCUGCACUUAACGGACUUGAUUCUCUUGAUGAUAUACUCUGAGCUUUUAAAUCUCAGUGUUGCUCUUGUGUCUACACAGAUUGAGUUGGGAGAUGUUAAUUUUUUGUUAUUUGUCUUCUAGAUGUCCUUGGCAUGUAUACCUCAAUGGAAUCCAGUUCAUCUCCAAUCUGUCAGAAGACAUCAUAGGUGGUUCGGCUCCUUAUGUCCAAAGUCUGCACAAAAAAUAUCAGAUAUAGGAUUAUUUGGACCUUUGCCAGACAUUCUUAUGGUAAUUACACUCAGGUUUAAGCUAUGAGUACGUGCUAGUAGCUGAAGUGGCAGGCAAGUAUUUUGUUUUUAAGGUACAAACAUAAACAAAGAAUUAUUCUGUUGAGCACAUUUUAAUAGGUGUUAUUAGGCAUUCAUUCUUCAUAUAAUGCACAAGACUUACAAGGGGAAAACAAUUAUUGACAGGCAACCAAAUUUACAGCCCUGCUCUUCACUGUCACCACAGAAAAAUUGGAAUAAUAUUCUGGGUCCCCAAGUUUUAUUUUGCUUGUAGAGUUCAUUGGUAGACACAGGAAUUCCUUAAAGGAACUGUUAACUGAUACAUACUUAGGAUUGAUUGGCAGGCUUUAUUCAAGUAUUAGCACAAGUGAAAAUGAGAUGUCUUUAAAAAUCAGUCACAAUAUAUUAUUGAUUUCCUAUUGUAUGCUAUGUGAGGUACUAUAAUAGAGGCUUUCUAUUAUAUUGAAAUGUUAGGUUGUGUAUUAUUGCAAAUGUAUUUGUUCACUCACCCUUUUUACAUAAUAAAUAUAUUUUAUAUAUAAAAGGAUUAGUUACA
rnacentral:lncRNA from 1 species